UACGUAGGGGGCUAGCGUUGUUCCGGAUUUAUUGGGCGUAAAGAGCGUGUGAGCGGCCAGGUAGGUCUGGUGUGAAAACUCGAGGCUUAACCUCGAGAUGUCAUCGGAAACCAUCUGGCUAGAGUCCGGAAGAGGAGAGUGGAAUUCCUGGUGUAGCGGUGAAAUGCGCAGAUAUCAGGAAGAACACCAAUGGCGAAAGCAGCUCUCUGGGACGGUACUGACGCUGAGACGCGAAAGCGUGGGGAGCGAACAGG
rnacentral:rRNA from 1 species